rnacentral:tRNA from 1 species
AAGAGCGUUUGCAUAAACACUGCUAAUGUUUGUACCCAGAUGUAAUUCACCUGGCACUCUU